GUGAGUCUCAAACCUCUCACAACACAGGUCAAAGGAGACAGAGACCAAAGAACCGAACAAAGACCAUCAUCAGGAUUACAAGUUUGGACUGAAAGACAAAAAAUAUCCCCAGUAAGAAGAAGCGAAACCCAAAGUGAAGAUGAAUCUGUUAGUCAUUCUCACCCUGCUUGGAAUAUUCAACAUUAAUGAGGCUUUUGCAAGAAGACGACCCAAACAGAGAUCACCAAGCAAUCAAGUCAUUCACAAAGAGUGUCUGUCUGGCAAUGGGAACGGUUACAGGGGAACUGUUUCCCAAUCAGAACACGGCCGCAGGUGUCGCAACUGGUC